rnacentral:tRNA from 1 species
CAAAUUAGAGCUUGAUAAAAGCGUUUUAGUUACAUUAAAAAGUUAACUGUGAAAUUCAGUUUAAUUUGA